GCCCAGUGUAUCAUGUUUCGCGAAAACCCUAAUCGACAUCUAUGGUUCGUCGUGCUCAUCGACUUCUCAUUCAUCUCCGGCAAAGAAGUUUCUGGAAAACUAUUUGAGACGAAUCGUGAGGAUGAUUCCCUGGAUAGAGAAGUCUUGGUGUCGUUUCAACUCCGGUUUUUCUCCCCGGAACCGUUACGCGAUGAAUUGAUUGUCUGUCAUUAACGAUCUUCUUAAAUCCUUCAACGUACUGCAACCAUGAUUUCACAGUCAAUGCAUCUUCUCUCUCAAAGGUGAUACUGGUGCAUCGACAUCUAUAAAAAGGUUCUAUCAGGCUUACUUUUGAGUGAAUUGUUUUCCUCUGAAGUAUGGAACAAGUUUUCGUAUGGCUACGGUCGGUGAAGGCUGAAUUGUUUCGAGUAUUAGUUACUGGCUGUUGCUCGGUGUUUUGUGGACCUUAUCUAAAUGCAGGUUUCUUUUUAUUGUUUGCUGCCAUUGGUAGGUAGAAGAAAUGAAUUCAGUAGUGGCGGAAAUGAUGAAUAUAUAUCACUGCACAAGAAGCAGUCUUUCUCAAACAGUGUCAAGGAUUCUUAUCAAUAGUAGCAGCUAUGCAGGUUAAGGACUGUAGCAGAGAGACGCACAUAAUACAAUUAAGCUGGAAACGGACUUCACAACUGUGGAAACUGAUGGGUUUUCCAUGACUUUUGAUUUCCCAAGCUUUGUUACAAGUUUUUUUAAUUUCAAUAAUUUAUACCCGUUAGCACAAGAAA